AAUCCAGAAUUCCAGAUUGGGGAAAACUGGGAGAAAUCCAGAUUUCCACAGUUGGGGAAAAACUGGGAAAAAUCCAGAAUUCCAGAUUGGGGAAAACUGGGAGAAAUCCAGAUUUCCACAUUUUGUAAAAAUUGUGAGAAAUGCAGAAUUCCACGUUUUGGGAAGCACCAGUUUGGGAAUUGCAGAGGGAUCCAGCCCAGGGGGGCAGGGCAGGAUUUGGGGUCCCCUCCCCCCCCUCCCCCACCCCACAGGGGGUGGAUUUGGGGCCAUUUCUGUGGGAUUUGGGGUCACUGAGGCCCCUCCCACCCCAACCCCCUGCAGACCCCAGGGUGGGAAAAUGCUGGAAAAGCUGAUGGAGAAAUCAAAAACGAAAGGAAAAUACAGGGGGGCACCAGCUGGGCUGGGGGGUUUGGGCCCCUGGGAGCAGCCAGGUGAGCAGGUCCUGAAGGCACAGACCCCACAGGUGAGAGCUCUGGGGUCUGGGAGGGUCCAGGUGAGCAGGUCCAGGUGAGCAGAUCCAGGGUCUGAGAGUGUCCAGGUGAGCAGAUCCCACCAGGUGAGGAGAUCCAGGUGAGCAGAUCCCACCAGGUGAGCAGGUCCAGAUGAGCAGAUCCAGGGUCUGAGAGUGUCCAGGUGAGGAGAUCAAGGGACACAGAUCCCAGCAGGUGAUCAGAUCCAAUCUGUGAGUGUCCAGGUGAGCAGAUCCUCCAAUCUUUAGGGUCCAGGUGAGUAGAUCCCACAGUCUGUAGGGUCCAGGUGAGCAGAUCCAGGUGAGCAGAACCAGGGUCUAAGAGGGUCCAGGUGAGCAGAGUGCAGGAUUUGGGGCACAGACCCAACCAGGUGAGCAGAUCCCACGAUCAGCAGAGUCCAGGUGAGCAGGUUCCAUCAGGUGAGCAGAUCCAGGUGAGCAGAUCCAGGUUCUGUGAAUGUCCAGGUGAACAGACCCCCCCAAUCUGUGGGAUCCAGGUGAGCAGAUCCAGGUGAGCAGAACCCUCCCAAUCUGCAGUCUCCAGGUGAGCAGAUCUCCCAACCUGUCAGGUCCAGGUGAGCAGAGUGCAGGAUUUGGGGCACAGACCCAACCAGGUGAGCAGACCCCAAAAUCCAAGAGUGUCCAGGUGAGCAAAUGCCAAGGGUAGUGACCCAACCUGGGCAGCCCCACCCUCACAUCCCAAUUUCCCCCCUCCUGCCUCCUCCCAGGCUGGAAUUGCUCCUGGCCCAGAUGGCUCUCACCUGGCUGGGGCCAAAAAAAGAGGGAAAAGCCCCAGAAAUGAGAAGUUUCAGCCCAAAACAGAUCCCAGAGGAAGGUCUGAAGCACAGGUGGGUUUUCCAUGAAUCCCAGUCCAGGUGACUCUGGACACCUGGAGAACCUGAACCUGUCCCAGUCUGAGCAGUUUGAUGCCAGUGGAGAUGGCAGAAGCAGCACAGGAGAGCAGGAAGCACCUGAGGAGCAGCACAGGGAACCCCAGGUGCUCCAGGAGCAGCACAUCCACGGGAUACCUGUGCACACCUGCAGGGCCCUGACCCUGCUGCCAUCCUGGGAUGGAUCCUGAGGGCUGGAACAGCUUUUCUGGGAAACACCUGGAUGGAUGGAGCCCACCUGGGAUGGGCAAGGAGCCAACUGAGAGCUCAGGGAUCAGCUAGGGCAGGGCCAGGUAACACUUGAGGGACACCUGUGCACACCUGCAGGGCUCUGAUGCUGCUGGAAUUGGUCCAGGAGCACCUGGAUGCACAGAGCCCACCUGGAAUGGGAUCACAGGUAGGGACAGGGACCCCACAUCCCCAAAUCCUGGUCCUUGGAAGGGCGACUCCAGCAGGUGAAUGAACAUUCCAGAAGGUUCUGACAGGUACAGGUGAGCAAUGCCAGGUGAUGCAGGAGCCAACGAGGAGGUGAAGUUGCUUCAAACCCCCCCAAAAUCUUCCAGGUGAGUUUGGGGAUUCCAGUCUUGGGUCUCUUGUGCCAGUUCCAGGUGUUUCCCAAUCCACCCCAGCUGCAGGUGAGUGGGAGCAUCACCAGGCCCAGGUGAAACAUUCAUUAAACAAACAAGAAUUAGGGAAAAAAGGACUUUUUCCCUUAAAAACAAGGACAGUGGAGGCAGCCGGGGGGGACAGAGCUGCCAUGGGAUCCAGGAGGCUCCAGGUGAGUCCUGGCACAGGUGAUCUCUGCCAGGUGGGAUGAACAGGCAGGAUCCAGGUGAGUCCCGGCACAGGUGAUUUCUGCCAGGUGGGAUGAACAGGGAGGAUCCAGGAGGCUCCAGGUGAGUCCUGGCACAGGUGAUCUCUGCCAGGUGAGAUGGAGAACAGGAAGGAUCCAGAAGGAGGCUGCAGCUCAGGUGAGUGAAGGACUCCACCC